UUGACAGCACUGGAGAUGGAGGUCCUUUUUAUCCACCCAAUAGAUACAUCGUGGGGGCUGCAGUACCUGGUUGCCACACUGCCCUGCCAACAUUCCUCAGCCCUGACCUGAAGGCACCACCUAUGGAGAUAAGAUUUUAUUCUUAUCAUUCAGUUCUAGGUCUCU
rnacentral:sRNA from 1 species